AUUGAACGCUGGCGGCAGGCCUAACACAUGCAAGUCGAACGAGUGGCGGACGUGUGAGUAAUGUCUGGGACACUGCCUGAUGGAGGGGGAUCACUACUGGAAACGGUUGCUAAUACCGCAUACCAUCGGAUGUGCCCAGAUGGGUGUAGCUAGUAGGUGGGGUAACGGCUCACCAAGGCGACGACCUCUAGCUGGUCUGAGAGGAUGACCAGCAACACUGGAACUGAGACACGGUCCAGACUCCUACGGGAGGCAGCAGUGGGGAAUAUUGCACAAUGGGCGCAAGCCUGAUGCAGCCAUGCCGCGUGUAUGAAGAAGGCCUUCGGGUUGUAAAGUACUUUCAGCUGGGAGGCGUUACCCGCAGAAUAAGCACCGGCUAACUCCGUGCCAGCAGCCGCGGUAAUAC
rnacentral:rRNA from 1 species